AAUCUUCAUCCGAUAUGAGUUUCCACAAUAUGUUCUUCUGGCAAUCGUCUCUAUUUUUAUCAAAGAAAAACUUAAAGCUGAAUCUGUACACACUCAGUAAUUUAAAUCUUUCUGAUUUUCAUUCUGAAAUGUAGGUAUCACUUUUUAAAAGUAUAAUCUCUUCAAACCUUUUUAACUUUUGGAGUUGAGACGGGACAUUCAAGCUGAAAUGGGAAUUAGCAUUCGAUUGGUCCUGAUAUUCAAAGCUUGUUUCGUACGUCCAUUCAAAUCAGGUCCACCACUUGGGUAGACCUUAGGAACUUCCAAAGUGCAAUGGAAGUUGCUUCCCUAGGCCAUGGGCCUCAAUGAUCACCCAUUGACCCCAUCCAGUUUCCGGCCCGGUGAGUGGAGUUGCUUUGCCUAGGAUGACAGGCGCGAGAAAAGUUGGAACGGUGUAAACUCUUUACAGGCAGCGUCGCUCCUCAAAAACAUAUGCUCUCCAUCGAGCUUCUAGUUUUCGGAGUUGAGACUGGGGAAAGUUGAGAAGGGAGCUGUGUUGGUCGGUUCUUUUUCCGCAAAAGAGGUAUCACUUUUUAAAAGUAUAAUCUCUUCAAACCUUUUUAACUUUUGGAGUUGAGACGGGACAUUCAAGCUGAAAUGGGAAUUAGCAUUCGAUUGGUCCUGAUAUUCAAAGUUUGUUUCGUACGUCCAUUCAAAUCAGGUCCACCACUUGGGUAGACCUUAGGAACUUCCAAAGUGCAAUGGAAGUUGCUUCCCUAGGCCAUGGGCCUCAAUGAUCACCCAUUGACCCCAUCCAGGUAAGUAUGUUGUCAAGUAGGCAGUGCAUCUCUAUUUAUACCUUUGUCAGAAUUCUUUUCUUUUACUCCGUCGAUGAGGGAAGCUU